UGCCUAACACAUGCAAGUCGAACGGAGAAUUUCAAUAAGUUUACUUAGAGAAAUUUUUAGUGGCGGACGGGUGAGUAACGCGUGGGUAACCUACCCAUAAAGCCGGGACAACCCUUGGAAACGAGGGUUAAUACCGGAUAAUCUUGAGACGUGGCAUCAGGUUUCAAGGAAAGGUGGCCUCUGAACAUGCUACCGAUUAUGGAUGGACCCGCGUCUGAUUAGCUAGUUGGUGGGGUAAAGGCCUACCAAGGCGACGAUCAGUAGCCGGCCUGAGAGGGUGAACGGCCACACUGGGACUGAGACACGGCCCAGACUCCUACGGGAGGCAGCAGUGGGGAAUUUUGGACAAUGGGCGCAAGCCUGAUCCAGCCAUGCCGCGUGCAGGAUGAAGGCCUUCGGGUUGUAAACUGCUUUUGUACGGAACGAAAAAGUUCUCUCUAAUACAGGGGGCGAAUGACGGUACCGUAAGAAUAAGCACCGGCUA
rnacentral:rRNA from 1 species